GUCGAACGAAGUAGCAAUACUUAGUGGCAGACGGGUGAGUAACAUGUGGGUAUCUGCCCUUUGGCCUGGAAUAACACGAGGAAACUUGUGCUAAUACCGGAUAAGUCUUUACGGAGAAAGCUUUAUGCACCAUUGGAUGAGCCUGCACUUGAUUAGUUUGUUGGUGGGGUAAUGGCCUACCAAGACUGUGAUCAAUAGCUGAUUUGAGAGGAUGAUCAGCCACAUUGGGACUGAGACACGGCCCAAACUCCUACGGGAGGCAGCAGUGGGGAAUCUUGCACAAUGGAGGAAACUCUGAUGCAGCGAUGCCGCGUGAGUGAAGAAGGCCUUUGGGUUGUAAAGCUCUUUCGUCGGGGAAGAAAAUGACUGUACCCGAAUAAGAAGGUCCGGCUAACUUCGUGCCAGCAGCCGCGGUAAUACGAAGGGACCUAGCGUAGUUCGGAAUUACUGGGCUUAAAGAGUUCGUAGGUGGUUGAAAAAGUUGGUGGUGAAAUCCCAGAGCUUAACUCUGGAACUGCCAUCAAAACUUUUCAGCUAGAGUUUGAUAGAGGAAAGCAGAAUUUCUAGUGUAGAGGUGCAAUUCGUAGAUAUUAGAAAGAAUACCAAUUGCGAAGGCAGCUUUCUGGAUCAUUACUGACACUGAGGAACGAAAGCAUGGGUAGCGAAGAGGAUUAGAUACCCUCGUAGUCCAUGCCGUAAACGAUGUGUGUUAGACGUUGGAAAUUUAUUUUCAGUGUCGCAGCGAAAGCGAUAAACACACCGCCUGGGGAGUACGACCGCAAGGUUAAAACUCAAAUGAAUUGACGGGGACCCGCACAAGUAGUGGAGCAUGUGGUUUAAUUCGAAGAUACGCGCAGAACCUUACCAACACUUGACAUGUUCGUCGCGACUUUAAGAGAUUAAAGUUUUCGGUUCGGCCGGACGAAACACAGGUGCUGCAUGGCUGUCGUCAGCUCGUGUCGUG
rnacentral:rRNA from 1 species